rnacentral:rRNA from 1 species
AUUGAACGCUGGCGGCAUGCUCUACACAUGCCAGUCGAACGGUAACAGGCCGCAAGGUGCUGACGAGUGGCGAACGGGUGAGUAAUGCAUCGGAACGUGCCCAGUCGUGGGGGAUAACUACUCGAAAGAGUAGCUAAUACCGCAUACGAUCUAUGGAUGAAAGCGGGGGACCGUAAGGCCUCGCGCGAUUGUAGCGGCCGAUGUCAGAUUAGGUAGUUGGUGGGGUAAAGGCUCACCAAGCCAACGAUCUGUAGCUGGUCUGAGAGGACGACCAGCCACACUGGGACUGAGACACGGCCCAGACUCCUACGGGAGGCAGCAGUGGGGAAUUUUGGACAAUGGGCGCAAGCCUGAUCCAGCAAUGCCGCGUGCAGGAAGAAGGCCUUCGGGUUGUAAACUGCUUUUGUACGGAACGAAACGGCUCUGGUUAAUACCCGGGGCUAAUGACGGUACCGUAAGAAUAAGCACCGGCUAACUACGUG